GCAACGCCGCGUGAAGGAUGAAGUCUUUCGGGAUGUAAACUUCGGAAAUAUGGGAAGAAUAAAUGACGGUACCAUAUCUAAGGUCCGGCUAACUACGUGCCAGCAGCCGCGGUAAUACGUAGGGACCAAGCGUUGUUCGGAUUUACUGGGCGUAAAGGGUGCGUAGGCGGCGCCGCAAGUCACUUGUGAAAUCUCCGGGCUUAACUCGGAACGGCCAAGUGAUACUGCAGUGCUAGAGUGCAGAAAGGGCAACUGGAAUUCUUGGUGUAGCGGUGAAAUGCGUAGAUAUCAAGAGGAACACCUGAGGCGAAGGCGAGUUGCUAGGCUGACACUGACGCUGAGGCACGAAAGCCAGGGGAGCGAACGGGAUUAGAUACCCCGGUAGUCCUGGCCCUAAACGAUGAAUGCUUGGUGUCCGGAGUUUUAAUUCUCCGGGUGCCGUCGUUAACGCUUUUAGCAUUCCGCCUGGGGGAGUACGCUCGCAAGAGUGAAACUCAAAGGAAUUGACGGGGNCCCGCACAAGCGGUGGANCAUGUGGUUUAAUUCNACGCAACGCGAANAACCUUACCUGGACUCGAAUGCGAUGNAAGGUCGCUUAAU
rnacentral:rRNA from 1 species